GAUGAACGCUAGCUACAGGCUUAACACAUGCAAGUCGAGGGGAAACGACAUCGUAAGCUUGCUUUUGAUGGGCGUCGACCGGCGCACGGGUGAGUAACGCGUAUCCAACCUGCCCAUCACUUGGGAAUAACCUUGCGAAAGUAAGACUAAUACCCAAUGAUAUCCCACGAAGGCAUCGGAAUGGGAUUAAAGAUUUAUCGGUGAUGGAUGGGGAUGCGUCUGAUUAGCUUGUUGGCGGGGUAACGGCCCACCAAGGCAACGAUCAGUAGGGGUUCUGAGAGGAAGGUCCCCCACAUUGGAACUGAGACACGGUCCAAACUCCUACGGGAGGCAGCAGUGAGGAAUAUUGGUCAAUGGGCGAGAGCCUGAACCAGCCAAGUAGCGUGCAGGAUGACGGCCCUAUGGGUUGUAAACUGCUUUUAUAAGGGAAUAAAGUGGGUCUCGUGAGACUUUUUGCAUGUACCUUAUGAAUAAGGACCGGCUAAUUCCGUG
rnacentral:rRNA from 1 species